UUACACCGGUGGCCAGACUAUCUACACAAUGUCUCAGUUUAGACUUCCGCUUCCCAUACUGAUACGUGUUGUGAUAUUUGCAUUCCUUAGAUGAGCACCUAUGCACCUAUCUAUGAAUUCUGAAGUAGGUACCCCACUGAAAAACAGACUCUAUGAAAAGGUAUUGUAUAAGAAUGAUGGUUGGCACUUGAAACGCCUUAGAGCUGGCAAUGGCCAUUCGUUAAGUACAAAAGGUCUACGAGCACCGGACGUUCCAGGUUGAUCCAGCACAACAAGCACGUGAGUCUACUAUAAUAAUCGAUUUGACAAUCCGAGUGGAACACGAUUCCACCAGGGGUUUAAGGAUCGACGGGCCAAAAUUAAUAUUUCGUUGAUAAAUAUGGGUCAAUAUAUUUGGUUUGGUUAUUUACUUGCUUACCUAAUUCUCAUGGGAUACGGGGCCAUAAAAAUUACCUCCUUAAGACAUUUAUGGUCACUCCAAGGAGACUCAAAAGAUGACGCUUCCAAUAUAGCAUAAUAUUCAAGGAAAUCAGAAGCAACGCAUUGAGUAAAUGAAUAGUAAGACAUUAAGCCGGACAUUACAGGUUAAAAGUAGGACAUUGUAGCAUGGUUAGUAUCUAAAUAGUUUUUCUUGUUUUUACCUACCGCAGUGCAGGAAUCUAUUUAAAGAACAACAAGGCUAAAUGCGCUACUAUAGCCAACGUCGAAUCUUACCAAGCGAGCUGCUUUCUUUGUAAGUCAACAUUCCAAUUUAGAUUGAAAGCAGCUUGUUGGUGCUGGAAAUAAAGAAGCCAUCAUACCUAUAAAGUUGAGAUGUUAAGCAACGGGCAAGCAAGCGGCACAAUGGCAAAAUCACGAAUAAAUAUGGAGCCCCUGCAGCCAGCAUUAGGGAAUAUAAACCAGGGUAUGUCAAUGGGACAAAGUGCUUCCGUGCAUGGAACUACUAAGACCAGUUUGCUAUAUACUCGUAUUAAGCGAUAUCUUUUGGAAUCGAGAACUGUUUUACUAUUGUAUUAUUUAUAUGUUAUAGAUUAUUUUCGACCUGCGAUAUUUUUUUUUUGAGAAAUUGCGCACAUCGGACAUACGAACUUGCAGAACGUCGCAGUUGAAAGCUUGUAGGUGAUAGAUUUUUAUAUUUUUAUAUGUAAUUUGGGCUAAAUCUUCCCACUUUCUUUUUUGCUCAGACAGAAAAAUUGGGGAUUCAGCAGUUCCUACAUAUUGCUACACGUAUUACCGCCAGCACCAUGAUUAUGUCUACCAGAUCAUCUGGAGAACGGAAUGCAGACUGUAAUCGUGAAUCUGGAGAGAAGCUGAAAUAGAAUGCAUUAUUCAUUUGUUGUUUACGAACCCUGCCUAAGUGAUCAAGAUCUCUAGGCUAUCGAUCACGAAUAUCAUUAAGAAAGCAGGCACGCCGGAACCUCUGUUAGUCAAGGUGCUAGGCGGCGUCGGACUGAAAGCUACAGAAGACGCGAGCAAGGUGUUUAAAAAUUAAGAAGUAACGUUGUACAUAAAGCCAAGCUUAGGAAAAUUUGACCCGAGGGACUAAGGACCCAAAGAGCGCAAGAAGCGCGGACGUUGGACAGAGACGUGUAAGGCCCCUUGGAGGGAUUCCGGCGAAGAGAACGAAACCUCGACAAUGAUGAGAGAAUGAACAAAAUUGUACCGCUUAAGAUCGUACUGAUGUGAAGCAGUGCUCAAGCGCUUUGACUUGCAAGUGAAGUGCAGGGGCAUAUGUCAUGGAUCAAAUAUUAAAGCGCGGGCCGAAAAAUAAAAUGGCCAGCUUUUCACCUCUACAAUAAAAAUUCUACACAUGUCUUUCUCUGUCGGAAAAAUGUCUGACGAUUCGACCUCGUUGAUCGUUCGAUGGUCGCCGAAGGUUAGUACACUGCCUUAAACGUAAGGUUUUUUUUAACUUGCCAAUUUUUAGGCGCAAAGUGUCUCUACUGUUUUUGUAAGGUUUUUGAAGAAUUUUUGUAGCAUUUAGGACCGAAAUAAAGUUGAUUUUGUGCGCAUGUAGAAGGAAUUCCACGUAGCCCUCCCACACGCUCUUUUCCACACCUUAAUGCAGUUAUUGAAGCCAGCAUAAAGAGUUGCGACGCGGGUGUAGAAUAGGUGUAAUAGAAUUGCUUGACACAGUUUUCUUUAGUUUAUUAUAUACGAAUCAAUGUUGCACUUAAUUUUCAUAAAUAUUCAUUCUAUGACAAUUUUUCGAUGUAAUAAAUAUAAGUGGAAAGUAUGUGACGUGUGUGGUCUUUCUCUACGCUUUUUUUGUGUUUGUGUACCGGGGGGUGUGCUGUAAGCCACCACACACACACGCAUCCAUCAUAUAACAGAUGACAAUUUAAGAGAAUGUAUGUAUAAAAAAUCAGUUGAAGUUUUAUGUGAACAGCUACGUCCAUCCCAUAGGAAAUCAAAUAGCGUUGAAUUCUACGAAACAGAUUGUGAUAACCGUUCCGGCGGUAGUGAGCUAGGUCAAUCGUUCGGUGAUUGAAUUAAGUAACUACUUACGAAAUUAUGGCACUUUUCACGAAUUUGGUUGUUAUGUGGAUUCAACCCCAGGACUUAAUCAAUAGAGUGAUUUUACUUAACAAUAUAGUUGGAUUAGAAAAAAUAGUAUCUAUGCUGGACUGUAAUUCGACCAGGUUUGGUUGCCAAUAGCAAAACCUUGCUUUGAAGGGAACUUUGACAGACAUACAAGAAUAUCAAAUAAUUGUCUCACACUUUGUCAUAAUAACUAUGCUAUAUCGAUAAUUAACAUUUGGUCAAUAGAACACGUAAAUUAAUAACGAGAUAUCGAUAGCCAAGGAAACCGGAAUGGAAUUCUUUCAGUCCAACGAAGAACUUCAAUGAACUCUAAAACGUUCCAUAUUUGAAAUAUGGAACAUUUCAUAAUCUUUACGAAAAAAAACAAAAAGAAUAUGACAUGAAACGAGGAUUCGUGAAGGAUGGCCGGUAAAUAUUGCAAAUAUAUUUUAAAGUAAGUUGUAAAAAAUAAUAAAAGUACAUACCAUCAACAGGACAAUCAAUGUAAAAAUGAAAAAGUUAAUGCAUACUUGGCUCAGUUUUAUGGAUGCAGUCAUAGAGCGCGGCUGGCGUUCAACGGGUUGUCAACCGCUUAGAGUUGAAAUUUGGCGAAAUCGACAAGAACUUCUAUAGUAGCGAAUCGAAACGGUAAAGCGGUUACAAGUGUUAUACCGCGUAUACUUACUGUCUCCUAUCGUAAUUUGACCAGUUGGAAAUAUUUAACUUAAGCUUGACGUGUUACAUAGAUAUUGAAAAUGUAUCGCAUGCAUAUUAAAAGGGUCAUUAAUAUUAUGGAUAAAGUUACAUAAAUAAAUGAUUUAAAUAUCGUUUCUAUGAGUUUUGCAAUCGUAGACAAUAUUGCCUUUAUGUUUCGAGUUUUAAGUCCGGUAUCGCCGUUAGGCUUCUCAUCUCAUGACCGGCUCCCAGCACGAAAGGAAGCCUGUCUAUGCUCGAGCUCGAGCCUAGACCAU
rnacentral:lncRNA from 1 species